AGCUCUGCUAGCGUAUAUUAAAGUUGUUGCAGUUAAAAAGCUCGUAGUUGAAUUUCUGGUAGGAGUGAUUGGUCCAUCACAACGUGUUGGAACCUGAUUGUCUCCAGCCAUCCUUGGAAAGAGUCUUCAUGGCAUUAAGUUGCCGAGUUGACAGUUUCCAUCAUUUACUGUGAAAAAAUUAGAGUGUUCAAAGCAGGCUUAUGCCAUUGAAUAUAUUAGCAUGGAAUAAUAAGAUAGGACUUUGGUACUAUUUUGUUGGUUUGCGCACCAGAGUAAUGAUAAAUAGGGACAGUUGGGGGUAUUCGUAUUCAAUUGUCAGAGGUGAAAUUCUUGGAUUUAUGGAAGACGAACUACUGCGAAAGCAUUUACCAAGGAUGUUUUCAUUAAUCAAGAACGAAAG
rnacentral:rRNA from 1 species